CCUACGGGUGGCAGCAGUGGGGAAUAUUGCACAAUGGGCGCAAGCCUGAUGCAGCCAUGCCGCGUGAGUGACGAAGGCCCUAGGGUUGUAAAGCUCUUUCAGCGGGGAAGAUAAUGACGGUACCCGCAGAAGAAGCCCCGGCUAACUCCGUGCCAGCAGCCGCGGUAAUACGGAGGGGGCAAGCGUUGUUCGGAAUUACUGGGCGUAAAGCGCGCGUAGGCGGCCUAGCAAGUCAGGGGUGAAAUCCCGAGGCUCAACCUCGGAAUUGCCUUUGAGACUGCAAGGCUCGAGUCCGGGAGAGGUGAGUGGAAUUCCUAGUGUAGAGGUGAAAUUCGUAGAUAUUAGGAAGAACACCAGUGGCGAAGGCGGCUCACUGGCCCGGUACUGACGCUGAGGCGCGAAAGCGUGGGGAGCAAACAGGAUUAGAUACCCGAGUAGUC
rnacentral:rRNA from 1 species